GUAACGGCAGCACUGCCUGGUUGCAUGCCACCACCUCCGGAAUCGGAAUGCACAAUUGCGCCAGACGAUAAAAUACUGCUGGAAAGCUCCGUCCCUCCCUCAGAGCUCGAGGACACACGAAUGUUUACCCUGUGCCAAGCGUGCGCACAUCGUCCACGUCUUUCCCACAAAUACGAGGAAGUGGAGUACAAGGCUGUCUUUGAUUGGACAGCUUGGUGAAAAUAAUAGCGGAGCCGAGGAGAGCUCCGCUCAGUUGAGAGUGGGGAAAGAAAAUCUUAGGAAGGACCAUUUCCUAAGAAGAGAGAGUACUGGAUGGGGCAGCAGAAGAAACAGGGCUUUUCGGUCCAACAGGGAUCAGGGAUAUUUAAAGGAUGGUGGGGCCGUUGUGUUCACCCCGCCCAGGAGCCGAGGGGCGAGAGCGGCCGCAGCAAGCCCGCCGUCUCCCUGGCCGGCCCCCGCGCUGCAGGCUGUUUUUCUUUGAGAGACUAUAAAAAUAUGCAAAUGCGAUUGUUAAAGUAUGAACAUGGAGCCAUUUCCCCCCUUUCUCUUCCCUGUUGCUUGUGUUUCUGGUGAGUUUACUGCAGAUAAUACUAGUUGUUUCCCCUUGCUGUGGUGCUUAGACAUGUUCAAAAGAAGAGGGGAUAAAUGGAGAGGGGGAGACACUCAGAGACAGGUGGGUAUGGCCACUGCCGAUGACCAUGGAGAUGGGCUGGAUAUUAAAACUACUUUCAAACGCCGGGAUCUCAGUGGAGCUACUUCCUCAGGCCCAUCAGAAGCACUGGUGAGAGGAACAGAGAUAUGGAGGGAAAGACAGAGACAGGGACAGAGAGAAAGAGAGUCUGCGUUUGGAGGCUGAAGAGAGGGGUUUGAAAUGGAGCAUCAGAGAGCUUAAAGAAUGUGGAAAGUGAGGGUCACAUUUGUAAAGCACUCACAGUGUCAGGAGCAGUUUUUGAAGUGAUUAUGAAGACAGCUUAGAUCAAAGGCUUUGACAAGUCUGAGUGCCCGCCAAGUGUGAGACGGGGUAAUCACACUGCAGCCUGCAGAUGACAGCACUCCCUCCAGCUGCUUUGCAAACACAAUGCCACACUUUAGAUGCACAGAUUAACAUAGGUUACAUUUAAUACACGGCCUAUGUGAAAAUUAACCAAAUCAUAUUUGUUCAUAUAUUCAUGUUGUGGCGUGAGGUGACUAUUUUACUAACUUGUACUUUACAUACUGAUUAUGUGUAUGUGUAUGUGUGUAUGUCUUUUCUUCUGAAGCAUUUUCAUGAAAUGACAUAACAUGAAAUCAUAAUGAAAUGUAAAAGGUGAGUCUUAGGUGAUUGAAACAAAUAGGUCAGGGAACACUUAGCUAAAUGGUGGUGAACAUCAUGUUUAAACAAAGACACUGGCAUACAUGUUUCUCACGUGAGAUCAGACCAGAACUCCCAGGUGCACUGCGCAGAUCUGGGACUUUAAAAGAGGUGAGGAUGUUUGUGAAUGGGGAGAUGGGCAUUGGAGGGACGCACGUCAGUGGAGAAUCUCAUUUAUAAUAGUAAUACGAAUAUCAUUUCACUGAUAAAAUGAAAUAGCAAUUUAUACAUAUUACAAGAACGAAAGGAGAAAGAGAGAGAGAGGGGAAAUAUCGCUGAUGAAAGCUGCCAGUGUAUUUAUUUAAAUGUGUACCUGAUUAAUGUUAGAUAUCAAUCUUAACCACCAUUUUUAAACACAUGUGGCAAUGUUAUGGUACAUAUUCAAUUUAAUCAUUCCAACUCUUUAAUGGAGGAAAUUGGAAGAUCCCGUAUUAAUUUUACACAGCACAUUUUAGAGACCUCUAUGUUGAAAUAGACACACAGACCCACUUGUUUAAACCCUUUCAUGGAGGAGUAGAGCACAUGAAUUACAUGAAUUACAAAAUGUGUCAUUUAAAACAAUGAAAUGUUCUGUUGUUCAACCUUGAAUGAAUAAAAGGAGUUUUACCAAAGGA